rnacentral:rRNA from 1 species
UACGUAGGGGGCAAGCGUUGUCCGGAUUUAUUGGGCGUAAAGAGCGUGUAGGCGGUUCGGUAGGUCCGUUGUGAAAACUCGAGGCUCAACCUCGAGACGCCGAUGGAAACCAUCGAACUAGAGUCCGGAAGAGGAGAGUGGAAUUCCUGGUGUAGCGGUGAAAUGCGCAGAUAUCAGGAAGAACACCCGUGGCUAAGGCGGCUCUCUAGUACGGUACUGACGCUGAGACGCGAAAGCGUGGGGAGCGAACAGG